CAGGCAGAGCGUGCUGGAGCUAGAGGGCGCUGGGAGGGAACCUUCAAAUGUAGCGUGUCUCUCCGUGUUAUGACGUGCCAGGCAACACAAGUUCUUCCUGGAGGUUGUUAUUUGCAGAAGUGCUGUCUGAUAAAAAAACUCAAUAUUGUCUACGUCACAGAGCCAUUCUCAAGAAUCUAUGACCCCUUGUUGCCACGACACUGCAUUGUCAUUUUCAGUAUGCUUUUUACUUUCUUUUUAAAACCAAUUUCACAAGAAAUCAACACAAUCUAACACAACCCGAAAAGUUUGGAUCAAAUGUUUGGAGUCAGCAAAGUCAGUUCUAGAUGUUUUAUGCAUUCAAAAAUAAAGAAAAACUUGUAAUAUUGUCAAAUAUUAUUGGAGCUUAAAAUAUCUGUUUUCUAUUUAAAAAUAUUUUGAAAUGUACUUUAUUUGUCUGCUGGUAGGCUGAAUUUUCUAAUAUGCUGAAGGUGUUCAAGAAACAUCUUUUAAAAACACUGAUAACAUUUUCUUUCAGGGUUCUUAAAAAAAUAUAAAAGCUUUUCUUUGAAAUGUUUUGUAAUGUAUAUUGUCAUUUUUUUAUCUAUUUAAUGUGUCCUUUGUUAAAUUAAAGUAUUAAUUUAUUUUUUUUAAAUUACAUUUGAAAUGUAGUGUACAACUAUACUACACUCCCUGGCAUACUAAACUUUCUGCAGUAUGUACACUUGAAGUGUGUUGAAGUAUAAAGUACUUUUGAAGUAUGCAAAUUUCCUAAAUUACCUAUAUAAUUUUUGAAAACAAACAUUUUGUAAAAAAAAUUGAAGACAUUGUUCAGUGUAUGAAAUGAAGUAUGCUAGUAUUCCAUUCUGCACAAAACAAACCAUCAUUUUUUUUCUGUUAAUUUCUCCGUUUUCCCUUUAUUGAGUGAUCUGUUUUGUUUUCUGCCUUAUAAAUGAAUACAUCUUAAUAUCACAAUAACAAUACUGCAAUCAACCGAGAGAGAUGAAGAACUGAAAGUAGCUCCUGGGGUUUUCACUGAAAGAAAACUGAAACAAAACAAAGAAGAGAGCUGCAUCUUCCCGUUAAGCACCAUCAGAAGCACAGGCUAGAUAUGCCACAGUGGAAACUCUGUCAUUGUGAAAUACUGAUGUGGUCAAAACAUCCGUAACCAUCAUUUAGCUGGAACUUUGAAGGCCUCUCACCGAAAUGCACUUCCCAGAAUCUCCAGAGAAGGAAUGAAGGAAAGAAGGAGAGUGAAGUGGUGGCUGAGGAAGCAGCCAAUCUCUCCACGCGUCAGCACCCUACCAGAAUAUGGAUCUUUAUAUCCAGGCAUCAUUUCUAUACCUAGAGCUUGAAGCAUCAACCAGCGUAGCCUCAAGACCCAGCACCGCCAUUGUGUUCAACAUCCGUUCCCUCCGGUCCAACCUCCGCUUCAGAUUAAUCAGAAAGAUCUGAGCAGAAAAGAGAACGAGAGAGUCUGAGGAAUGAAGCAGGGCACAGUAAGAAAAUGUCACUUCAAAGAAGCAUAAAUCAGCUGAGGUUUUUAUGCUGCUGAAUAACUAUCAUGAGUGUCCAGUCAAGCAAGACAUUCCAGAAGUUUUGCUC